rnacentral:misc_RNA from 1 species
GAGAGAAAAUUAUAAGAAGGAGAAGAAGAUGCACAAACAGGAAGAAGCAAAACAAGAACUAGAAGGUUGGUGAUAGGCAGAAUCGAGUGGGUAUGGGUGUCAUUGGGCAAUAAGUCCUCUUUGGGCGUUAUUGGGCCAAUGGUAACCUUGUUCAAGGAUCUCAGUACGGAGGAAGUGGUGGUGGGAAAGGUGGCCAGGUGGAAGUGGCAGUAGAGGAUUGG